rnacentral:rRNA from 1 species
GGAUGAACGCUGGCGGCGUGCCUAAUACAUGCAAGUCGAGCGAACGGCCGAGAAGCUUGCUUCUCUGAUGUUAGCGGCGGCCGGGUGAGUAACACGUGGAUAACCUACCUAUAAGACUGGGAUAACUUCGGGAAACCGGAGCUAAUACCGGAUAAUAUUUUGAACCGCAUGGUUCAAAAGUGAAAGACGGUCUUGCUGUCACUUAUAGAUGGAUCCGCGCUGCAUUAGCUAGUUGGUAAGGUAACGGCUUACCAAGGCAACGAUGCAUAGCCGACCUGAGAGGGUGAUCGGCCACACUGGAACUGAGACACGGUCCAGACUCCUACGGGAGGCAGCAGUAUGGAAUCUUCCGCAAUGGGCGAAAUCCUGACGGAGCAACGCCGCGUGAGUGAUGAAGGUCUUCGGAUCGUAAAACUCUGUUAUUAGGGAAGAACAUAUGUGUAAGUAACUGUGCACAUCUUGACGGUACCUAAUCAGAAAGCCACGGCUAGCUACGUG